UACGUAGGUGGCGAGCGUUGUCCGGAUUUACUGGGUGUAAAGGGCGAGUAGGCGGAUGAGCAAGUCAGAUGUGAAAUACCGGGGCUUAACCCCGGGGCUGCAUUUGAAACUGCUUAUCUUGAGUGAUGGAGAGGCAGGCGGAAUUCCCGGUGUAGCGGUGGAAUGCGUAGAUAUCGGGAGGAACACCAGUGGCGAAGGCGGCCUGCUGGACAUUAACUGACGCUGAUGAGCGAAAGCGUGGGGAGCAAAC
rnacentral:rRNA from 1 species